rnacentral:rRNA from 1 species
UACAGAGGUCUCAAGCGUUGUUCGGAUUCAUUGGGCGUAAAGGGCGCGUAGGCGGCCACUGCAUGUCAGUUGUGAAAUCUCCGGGCUUAACUCGGAAAGGUCAACUGAUACUGCAGGGCUAGAGUGCAGAAGGGGCAACUGGAAUUCUCGGUGUAGCGGUGAAAUGCGUAGAUAUCGAGAGGAACACCUGCGGCGAAGGCGGGUUGCUGGGCUGACACUGACGCUGAAGCGCGAAAGCCAGGGGAGCGAACGGG